AGCAUAUCAAUAAGCGGAGGAAAAGAAACUAACAAGGAUUCCCCUAGUAACUGCGAGUGAAGCGGGAAAAGCUCAAAUUUAAAAUCUGGCGGUCUUCGGCCGUCCGAGUUGUAGUCUGGAGAAGCGUCUUCCGCGUCGGACCGUGUACAAGUCUCUUGGAACAGAGCGUCAUAGAGGGUGAGAAUCCCGUCUUUGACACGGACUACCGAUGCUUUGUGAUGCGCUCUCAAAGAGUCGAGUUGUUUGGGAAUGCAGCUCAAAAUGGGUGGUAAAUUCCAUCUAAAGCUAAAUAUUGGCGAGAGACCGAUAGCGAACAAGUACCGUGAGGGAAAGAUGAAAAGCACUUUGGAAAGAGAGUUAAACAGUACGUGAAAUUGCUGAAAGGGAAACGAUUGAAGUCAGUCGCGUCGUUCAGAACUCAACCUUGCCUUCGGGCUCGGUGCACUUUCUGUUUGACGGGCCAGCAUCAGUUUUGACUGUCGGAAAAAGGUCUUCGGAAUGUGGCACCUCCGGGUGUGUUAUAGCCGUUGGUCGUAUACGACGGUUGGGACUGAGGACCGCAGCACGCCUUUUGGCCGGGGUUCGCCCACGUACGUGCUUAGGA
rnacentral:rRNA from 1 species